GACGAACGCUGGCGGCGUGCCUAACACAUGCAAGUCGAACGGGACAGAGAGCUUCGGUUCUCUGUUUAGUGGCGAACGGGUGAGUAACGCGUGAGGAACCUGCCUUCCAGUGGGGACAACAGUUGGAAACGACUGCUAAUACCGCAUGACAUAUCCGAAGGGCAUCCUUUGGAUAUCAAAGCUUUAUGUGCUGGAAGAUGGCCUCGCGUCUGAUUAGAUAGUUGGUGGGUAACGGCCUACCAAGUCGACGAUCAGUAGCCGGUCUGAGAGGAUGAACGGCCACAUUGGGACUGAGAUACGGCCCAGACUCCUACGGGAGGUCAGCAGUGGGGAAUAUUGGGCCAAUGGGGGAAACCCUGACCCAGCAACGCCGCGUGAAGGAAGAAGGCCUUCGGGUUGUAAACUUCGUUUUACCAGGUACGAGAACGU
rnacentral:rRNA from 1 species